rnacentral:rRNA from 1 species
CGAAAGCCUGACGGAGCAAUACCGCGUGAGGGAGGAAGGCUCUUGGGUUGUAAACCUCUUUUCUCAGGGAAUAAGCAAGUGAAGGUACCUGAGGAAUCAGCAUCGGCUAACUCCGUGCCAGCAGCCGCGGUAAUACGGAGGAUGCAAGCGUUAUCCGGAAUGAUUGGGCGUAAAGCGUCCGUAGGUGGCUGUGUGUGUCUAUUGUUAAAGAGUUUGGCUCAACCAAAUAAGGGCGGUAGAAACUACACAGCUAGAGUGCGUUCGGGGCAGAGGGAAUUCCUGGUGUAGCGGUGAAAUGCGUAGAGAUCAGGAAGAACACCGGUGGCGAAAGCGCUCUGCUAGGCCGCAACUGACACUGAGGGACGAAAGCUAGGGGAGCGAAUGGGAUUAGAUACCCCAGUAGUCCUAGCCGUAAA